UCGUUGUUGUGGUUGUCUCGAUAGUUAUGAUUUUUGUCAACGGUCCUAUUGCAGAGGCGUCGUUCUUGGUGGUCGAGCCGCUGAUGGAGAAGAUUCAUAGAGAGAUUUGUUGGGUGGACGCUGACAUCCUUGCCGCCGUCCGGCAGCAGGUUCAGGCUUGCGAUCUCAUGUUCCAUUUGGUUUGCAAUAGCUACGCUCUUUGCAUUAGUACUGGUUAAAUAUGGCCAAACUAAUGUGUGAAAAAAGGACCAGGGCAGUACUUACAAAAAGAGGCAAGCUGAAGAGGAAAGUUGGAAGAAGGAGAGCAACUGUGCGUUGUUCUGACUGCCUCUUCCUCAUGUCGCUAAGUGUCACAGGCAAGAGGACCAAGUGCAGGCUGGUGAGCAUCAGGAGUCCAGUCGAUUGGCUUCGGCCUUCGAGGUGCUGCUGGCUAGCGGUGCCACUUCCGAGCGUCUCCUCACCCCUCACUCCUGUGGCCCCUUCAACUGGUGGCACUUUUGCUUGUGUCUUGUUAUCUUUUUGAAAUGGUGAAGCUGACAGUGAUAGCCUGUAUCACUGAUGGCCUUCCAUUGGCGGAGUGCUUAGAUGGUGGUUAUGUGAAGGAUGUUGUCUUCUACAAGCAGCAAGAAAAAUUGUUGUUCAAAAACAUAUCUAAAGGCCAACAUGAAUCAUCAAGACUGUCAACUGAGACUGGACCAUACCGUUCCAGGUCAAGGUAUGUAUUUACAUUUUUUGCUUUCAGCAAGAUGAGGAUAAUGUGACUGUUUGUGUGCGUCCGUGCUAUAUGAUGCAUUUUCGCUUUCAUAGAUGAGGAUACUGUGACUAUUUGUGUGUGUGCGUGCUAUAUGAUACAUUUUUGCUUUCAUCAAGAUGAGGAUACUGUGAAUGUUUGUGUGGGUGCUUUAGUGGUUCUAGGUUAUUGUAGUAGUAUAACUAGGCUUCGUUUACACAGAAUCCAAAUAGAAUUUAGUUUGGAGCUGGUCAAGACAUGGUGUAGUAUUAUAACCUAUUAAUUUGGUUGGACUGGUCAAGUGUUCUAUUAAUUCUUGCUGCAGUAUUCAUUCUGUAGUAUGUACUAGCUCUUAGACAAAAUAAUUGUUUAGCCCCUGAUUUCUUAGCUACUGGUUGGUCCUGUAAAGCUACAUCCUUGCUUUCCGAUUAGUGUUAUUUGAAUCUAUAGCAGUGGAUAUGCGUAGAAGAUCCGCUAAUUUGUUUUUUUCUUUAUUUAUCAUGUGAUGGACAUUUGUCGGAGCUUUGCCGCCUUCAUCUCGACUCCGUCGGGGUUCCAGGUUCACCCCCCUGUGGCACGGUGAUUUGCGGCGGCUGCGGGGUCUUCCCCUGCUUUGGUGGUGGCCGGCAGGCGUUUGCCCGGCUAGAUCUGGCGCGGUGCAGGACCUGUGGUGCAUGGCCUGGUUUAUGGGGGCGGGAGACACAUGGGUCCUUGGUCCGGCAGCGUCGGCAGGACGCUGUGCGCCCGUCUGCUUUCUUGCUAGAUACGUGUUUAGGAAAAAACUACAAUACUCCUUCAAGGUUUAUACAUCAAUUGCAACGGGUUUUAGGAAUGCAUCACUAUAUUGAUUUUGGUUUAUACAUGAACUGCAGAGAGUUUUAUAAAUGUAUCAUUAUAUUGUUUUGGGUUUAUAUAUGAAUUGCAUGUUUUAGGCAUGUGAAAAUCAGAGCUCAGGCGGCAGGUGAUUUUUUUUCUUGCUUCUAAUGCUAGGAUGAUGUUCUGUAUACUAAAAAGGACUCGUGCACACUUGCUUUGCUCCUUAGUGUUUAUGAUCAGUUACCAAACAUUAUAAUAGGAUAUACACAUUGCUUCAAAACUGAGUAUGUUCCUUGGUGAUGGUGUAUUUAUUAUGAAAAUAAAUAGAACUGCUUACACAUGGUGAUGUGGUAUUCCUACUCGAUUACUUACCCUGUUUCUGUGACAAAGGCCCGUGAUAGAUAUGGUUAGACACAUAUUGAGCAUCCAAUUUCAUAAAUAUUGAGCAUACAGUUUCAACUUCAACUUAAACAUGAGAUUGUCUUGCCGUCGAGUUGUGUUCAGUUCUUUCCAUGUAGAACUUACUAGAAAUUCUUGCAUACAUCCUAAACAAAUAAAGAGCUGCAUGCAUUUAAAUUAAGCAGUUCCAAAGAAAGAAUUAUUUUAAGUUAUUUUGUUUGGAGAUGAGUUGCCUUUUCUACACCUUUGUGUAAAGGAUGGAGCCUCCACAAUGCCUAUGAGCCAUGCUUUUUCCCAUCCAGGAAAAUGGUCUAUUUUCAAGUGGCAUCAUACGGUGAAGGAGGGGAUCUGGAUCAAGAGCCGUAAUGGUGCGUAUGAUGGCAUGUCUAGCACUUGCGCGACCCUGGAGUCUGACUUCUUCUUGCAAGUUGACCAUACUAUUGUGAGAAUCUCGGCCAGGAUCAUUCUUUAUAUCAUGUUGGAUCAUCUUGGAAUUCGUAGAGCCAUUUACCGUCGAAGGAUGUACUCACAGAACAAAUCAGUGUGAUUAUGCUUUUCUACACUUCUGUCCAAAGUAAUGAGAUAUGUAUUCUAUACUGUACAGCUACCCUCUAAUGCACUACUCAGCCUUCAGUAUCUGCAUGUACAAAUGACCUAAUUAUUAUGAAUGACAUAUGGAGUGUGCUGCUUUCUAUA